rnacentral:rRNA from 2 species
UACGAAGGACCCGAGCGUUAUCCGGAUUUAUUGGGUUUAAAGGGUGCGUAGGCGGACUAGUAAGUCAGUGGUGAAAGCCCAUCGCUUAACGGUGGAACUGCCAUUGAUACUGCUAGUCUUGAGUAUGGUUGAGGUGGGCGGAAUGUGUCAUGUAGCGGUGAAAUGCUUAGAUAUGACCCAGAACACCAAUUGCGAAGGCAGCUCGCUAAGCCAUAACUGACGCUGAGGCACGAAAGCGUGGGGAGCAAACAGG